rnacentral:rRNA from 1 species
UCGUACGUAGAGUGUAAAGGCAAAAGAGAGCUUGAUUGCAAGACAUACAGGUCGAGCAAGGAUGAAAAUCGGACUUAGUGAUCCGGUGGUUCUGCGUGGAAGGGCCAUCGCUCAACGGAUAAAAGCUACCCUGGGGAUAACAGGCUUAUCUCCCCCAAGAGUCCACAUCGACGGGGAGGUUUGGCACCUCGAUGUCGGCUCAUCACAUCCUGGGGCUGUAGUAGGUCCCAAGGGUUGGGCUGUUCGCCCAUUAAAGUGGUACGCGAGCUGGGUUCAGAACGUCGUGAGACAGUUCGGUCCCUAUCCGUCGCAGGCGUAGGAAAUUUGAGAAGACCUGUCCUUAGUACGAGAGGACCGGGAUGGACGUACCUCUGGUGUACCAGUUGUCCUGCCAAGGGCAUGGCUGGGUAGCUAUGUACGGAAUGGAUAAGCGCUGAAAGCAUCUAAGCGCGAAGCCAACUUCAAGAUAAGAUUUCCCACCGCAAGGGUAAGACCCCAGAAAGACUAUCUGGUUGAUAGGUCGAAGGUGUAAGUGCAGCAAUGUAUUUAGCUUAUCGAUACUAAUAGGUCGAGGACUUGACCAA